rnacentral:rRNA from 1 species
GAUGAACGCUAGCGGCAGGCCUAACACAUGCAAGUCGAGGGGCAGCACAGAAACAGCAAUGUUUUGGUGGCGACCGGCGGACGGGUGCGUAACGCGUAUGCAACCUACCUUUAACAGGGGGAUAACGGAGGGAAAUUUCCACUAAUACCCCAUAACAUCGAUCAAGGCAUCUUGAUUGGUUGAAAACUCCGGAGGUUAAAGAUGGGCAUGCGUUGUAUUAGGUAGUUGGUGAGGUAAUGGCUCACCAAGCCUACGAUACAUAGGGGGACUGAGAGGUUAGCCCCCCACACUGGUACUGAGACACGGACCAGACUCCUACGGGAGGCAGCAGUGAGGAAUAUUGGUCAAUGGGGGCAACCCUGAACCAGCCAUGCCGCGUGCAGGAAGACGGCUCUAUGAGUUGUAAACUGCUUUUAAACGGGGAUAAAGCACAGUAUGUAUACUGUGUUGAAGGUACUGUAAGAAUAAGGAUCGGCUAACUCCGUGCCAGCCGCCGCAGUAA